rnacentral:lncRNA from 1 species
UUGCUCUGGAACCUACCCAUCCUUUUCCAAAGAAAACCAAACAAUCUCACCUAGAAGCCCCAUAUGGAAGAGAACCGUGACCGUGGCAAUUAGCUUCAGCUGAGCUAAUAGUGUGUGUUGGCACAUGUGUGGGUGGAGCCACUAGAAAUUUCCACCCUAAACUCCUCGCCAACCCCCUGGAAAGCAGAACUGCCUGACUCAACAACCCAUGGAGAUAUGAGAAGUGAUGAGUUGUCAUUGUCGUCUUAAGCCACAAGGUUGUGGGGUGGCUUGUUCCCCAGCACUGGAAAACAAAACCUGCUGAGACUUGAUUUCCUGGACGUUGGCCCAGCCAUGGGAAGAAGUGAAAGGCAUUUGUGACAUGGAGGCAUGAGAUGGCCACGUCCAGAUCAGCGCAGCUGAAGGGUACAAGAGUUACCUGGGGCUAAGAAGAAGAUAACCGGACAACUCCUCAAAGUUUGGGAGGAACAGCAAAGAAACAAUUGCAAAGGAGCAAGGACUGAAAUCUUUCGGCCCUCUUUUUAAAAUUUAAAUUGAGGUUAACAUGCAAGGUCUGGCUGCUGGAUCUGCUUGGCUUCAGCCCUUGAUGUCUUCUCUGAUAGGGCUCAGUCCAUGAUGGGUAGCUCCAGCUGCAUGGUCACUUUGUCUCCCAGGCACAAAUACUCUGCUUAUCUUCAGGCCCAGAUACAUGCCAGGAAUCAACUUUCAAAGGAUCUUCAUUCUCUGCUGCAGAGGGCAUACCCCCAGCUCGAUGGCAAAGCUCUCCAUAUGCAUCCUUCCCCAUCACCAUAAGAUCUCCUGAGCCAUAUGACUCAAGUGGCAGAAGUGUCUCAGGCCCCAGCCACAUCCUGUUGUGGAGGCUUCCCAGGCCUAGUAUAGGCCCAGAACAGCUCAGUCAGCCAUGCUCACCCUCCCGCUAACACAUGACCCCUGAUGUCAGCAGCCACCAGAAAGAGAAGAGCAUACGCUUUUAACAUCCGCCCCAUGUGUUGAGGGAUUAUAAGCUUAAUAAACAUUUUCUCAUCCCAUCCCUAUAACAUUCUCUAAAAGUUAGACUUAUGCUUUGUAUUUGUUUCUUUUCUCAUUGCUGGAUGGAAUACCUUACAGCUACAACUUAGGGGAAGAAGGAUUUCCUUUAGGUGGAACAUGGCUGGGGGAGAGGCAUGGUAGGGGCGAGUACCAUAGGAGUGAACGUGGCAGGGGGGAGCAUGGUAGGGCGAGCAUGGUGGUAUUCACUGUGGCAGGAACAGCUGCUGUUCAGGGAGUGUGAAGCAGCUUACAAGGUGGCUGACCAAAAAAGCAGAAAAGAUGAGGCUGAGCUGCACCUGGGAUAGAACCCUCUAGCUUCUCCUCUGGACAGCCCUGUGUCUUCAGCUAGGCACCAUGUCCAAAAGGCUCCAUAAUGCCCCAACACAAUGCCACCAGCUAAAGACCAAGUGUUCAAACAUGUGAGUUUGUGGGCCACAACAGUAAGCAUAUAUUUGCUCCAGACAGCAGAUCAAGUAGAUGGUUACACUCAAGUCUAUCUUAAUUAACCAGUGUGUGUGUGUGUGUGUGUGUGUGUGUGUGUGUGUGUGUGUGUAUGUGUGUGUGUGUGUCUGUUCUGUCUCUGUCUCUCUCUCACACACACACACACAAACACACGUGCACACACACAUUCACACAUUCUGUCUACAGAUCCUUAACACCCUCAUGGCUACACCUUGACCAAAUAAAUACCUAGGCAUUCCAUGAACACAAACUAAGCAACCACAGCUGCUCCUGCUGAGUGUGAACAGGCUUGUCAAUGUCUGCUUUGGAGAGUCCACUUUCUUGUGUGAUGAGCUGAAUAUUCUAAUACUAAAACUGUGGCUGUGAGCUCAAGACCCCACCCGGAGCUGAGUUACUGGCAGCUAAAGGCUUCUAGGCAAGGAUCUUUCUUUGCAUGUAUGGCCACUGGCAAGUUACCCAUGGUCAUGUGAGUGGCCCCACACCCAUCUACAUUCCUAGAGCACUAAUUAGACUCAGAGGGUUUUUUUAUUUGUUUGCUUGCUUGCUUGCCUGCUUGCUUUGUUUUGUUUUUUAAGGGGAAAAAGUGAGCUAAACACAUCGUUCAUCUCCGCCCCCCCCCCCCUGCUUCCUGACUGUGGAUGCAAUGUAGCCAGCUGCCUCAGGCUUCUCAUGUCUCGACUUCCCAUCUUGAUGGACUGUACCCUCAAGCUGCGAGCCAAAAUAAACCGUUUCUCCCUUUAAAGACUUGCCCACCGUUAUCUAAAAUGUGACUUCAACUGAGGCAUCCUCAUUUUUUAUCUACUAUAGUUCUUGCUAACCUUAGCACUCCUAGCUUCCGGUCUCUGUAAACCGGAGUGACACCAGAGUCAUAGGAUCAGGCAACCUGUGCCAAGAGAGCACUUUACUGCUUUGAGUGGUUUCAGAAAUGCUACCUGCAGCCCAGGCCAGUAAAGAGAGCAGCUGAGAUAAGCGCCUUGCUGGUCCUGAGGGGACACUUCAUUCCAAGCCUGGAUGAGGCAGACAUGUGAGUUAGCCUACAGGGAGGGUGGGAGACGGCACAGAAGGGCAGCCCCCUCGGACCAGCGGACCAGCGCUGAUACUGUCAGUAAACAGGAAACACCGUCCAGCCACAGCUUCCUGCUCGUCUUGCCAGGGUUUGAAGACCUUCGAAGAAGAUUCAGAACAUUUGUUUGGCAACCUCUAGAUGGCUCAGCAGCUCCCUACCCAGUAGUACCUCAGGCUUUGCAGCACCCACUUCAUUCCCCGAGUCAGACCAGAGAAAGAACCCCAGAUCUGAUUGGCAGGACGAGGAGCGUCCCAGCAGGAGUGGGAGGAGCCUUCAGCCUGUUAACUUAGUCCAUCUUGCUGAUCUCUUGGUCACUUCUCCUGCUCUUGCAGUUAAUGUCAACUGGCUGUCCCCAGAGACCUCUCUGUCCUCCAUGGUCCUAUGUACUCUGUGGAGCCUCCCUGUAGGCAGGCUCCAAAAAGCUGGGAAAAAUGAGUAGAUGCACAGGCCAGUUCAGAGGCUCGAGGGAGGUGGGGGGACUGAGACCCUCUUGUUACAGACCCUCACAUGAUAGAAAGAAAGAUACAGCCUUAGCCUGAGGGAGAAACCACCACCAAUGAAAAUGAGGACAUGGCUUUUAUUGUAGAUAUAAGGGAGAGAACAGUCAGAGGCAUCUGGAAGAGCCCAGAUUGAACAUGGCUAGCAGAGUUGAUCAGGUGUGGGGGGGGGCGAGGGGGGGGCGGGAGCUGCAGAGCAAGAAGAUAAGGAGAGGGGCAAAAGCCAAGAGCAAAGGUCAAAGAGAGAGAAGAACCAACAGGACAAGAGAGAGCAUGGCUGGAAUGGCUGAGUUAUAUAGGAAAGAGAUGCUGAGGGAAGGGAAGGGCAGCUGGGGGAUGGGGGGUUUAGGUAGCUGGAGACGUUUGGGGUAGGAAGUGCUGAGAGGAGCCAGGACUCUGUAACAGGUACUUACAAUGCUGAAAGAGCCUGGUGUCAGCUUUGAUAUGUUAAUAGGCCAUUUGUCACUUGGCCAUUUGUCCUGGGUUUCUUUCGGACCUGAUAUCACCUACCUGUCACCAGCUCUGUCCCUACUUGCUGCUUAGAAAACUUCUUUCUUCUUCUUUCUUCUUCUUCUUCUUCUUCUUCUUCUUCUUCUUCUUCUUCUUCUUCUUCUUCUUCUUCUUCUUCUUCUUUGUUUUGUUUUUUGAAACAGGGUAUCUCUGUGCUGGCCUCAAAUUCACAGGGAUCUGCCCUGUGCUGGAAUUAAAGGUGUGUGCCACCACCUUUAAUCAGCUGGAAAGCCGAUUUCUUUUAUUUGUUUGUUUGUUUGUUUGUUUGUUUAUUAUGUAUACAACAUUCUGCUUCCAUGUAUAUCUGCACACCAGAAGAGGGCACCAGAUCUCAUAACAGAUGGUUGUGAGCCACCAUGUGGUUGCUGGGAAUUGAACUCAGGACCUCUGGAGGAGCAGCCAGUGCUCUGAACCUCUGAGCCAUCCCUCCAGCACCCGAAAGCUGAUUUCUUAAUGUGGAGUCUCCUUAUCAUUAUUUACUCUGCCUGCUACUCCAGCCAGUACAGAAAGCAGUGGCCUAUGGAAGGACUUUUGAACUGUGAGUUGAUCUUAGUUAGGGCUCUUCUGGACUGAGGAAACAGAUAUUACAUAGGAUAAGAUAGGAGGAAAAAAAAAAAGGAGCUGCACUUGCUCCCAAGAAAGGGAGAGGCAUGCUUGUUCAUCUCUCAUUCUGGCAUUUCCAUGUGAGUCAGCAUCUUCCUCUGUCAGUCUGCUUCUCUCAUGAACCUGGAGCCAGCGUCACCUCCCAGGAGAAUCCCUCUUGCCUCCUAGAAGUGACCUGAACAGUCCCAGCAGGGUCUGCUUGCAGCCAUAUGCCCAUGCAGAGACUGGGGGCAGUCUGUUGUGAAAUCCCUUCUACAAGUACAUACUUAGGGAGCUGGGAGGAGGGACUGUCACAAAAUAAACAAGGUAUCUUUCCUAGGAGAAUAAAUGUGCUAGGAAGGUAUCGAUAUGGAGUGGCAGUCUUUAUCAAAGACAUUACUGUCACUGUCAUUAACAUCAACAUAAGACAUCUGUGACAUUUUCCCAAUUCUAGUUGCUUUUGGGAUAAACAUCUUGGUAGCUGGGGGCACAGAUUUUGGACCCGGAUGGUCUGAUUCAAAUUUUGCUUCUACCACUAUACUAUGUGAUAUUGGGUAAACUGCUUAACCUCUCAAUGCUUGUCUAUGACAAUUAAAUAAUUCAAUACAUAAGGGGCAUGAAGAAGCAUGCCUGGUGUGGGCCAGGUGCUUCACAGAUGUUACUUAUUUUUUUAUUACCAGUGCUUGGUAACCCCAGUAUAAGAAAUGUCUGGAAAAACAAAACAAACAAACAAUAAAAACCCCACUGCUCUCCAUUUACCCUCACCCCAAUUUCCUUGUGAGAGCUAGUGCCUUCAGGAAUUCAAUAACAACUUGCCAAGUUCUGUGUAAGCCUUGAGUAUUACAGAUGUU